CUAGAUUACAGGCCUCCCAGCGCUGGGUUUUUACACCCAGAUCUGGGUUUUUUGGUCGUCAUCUGGGUGUCUGGGUGUAUUUUUCUUUUAAAUGACGGUACUGGUAUUGUACGCGUUCAUUACCAGUAUUGAACGCGUUCAUUACCAGACAAAGCAAUGGUUCCCAACUUUUCGGCGCUCACUACACAGCACCGACUGGGAACGCUGCGUCAGUUGUUUGGUGCAGAGUUAUAACGCGUAACGGAGAAAUUUGCCAGGAAAGUUUAGGGCUCGAAUUAGGAAAAUUAAAUAAGGAAUACAUCAUAGUACAUACAGUGUGUGUAUAAUCAUAAUGUAGUGUGCAGUGUGCACAUUGCACAAAAAAAUCUUUUCUCUAAUCGUAAUGAGAAUUAGGAUAUACCUACCUGAAAGGCUGAAAAGAGAAAAAAAAAUUUUAAAAUCAUUUAAAUAUGAGUGGUCCAGACUCCAGAGUGGAAUAGAAAUGAAUGUGAAGAAGCUAUGAGUAGGUACCGCAGCAUUGGACUAGGUAGUCUUCAAACUCUCAGAGGCUCCCACAAAUCAGAGAGAAAAAAAAAAGAAGAAGCUAUGAGCUAUUUUCCUUUAUGAAAUUGUGUCUCAUCUU